GAGGGUCAUGUGUUUUUAUAUAUUUGGUUGGUUUGGUGGUGUGCUUAACACGAAUUGGUUGCUUAAUUGUGAAUCAUGAAUGGUUGUGGAUGCAGCUCCAGUGCAUGGAAGAGAGUUCAGAAUCGUUACGCUCGAGAUGUUUCAAGUUUUACAAAGGAUGUUGAAAAUACACGGAAGGGCUUGGAGAGGCAUAUGAUGGAGACAUUUCAAUUGCAAGUGCCCUUGAAAAUUUUGGAGGAGGGCAUAAUGAUCCUCUAUUUGUAACUUUGGGAGGACCUGUCGUGACCAAAUUUUCUAUUGCUUUGAGAGAAAUCAGUACAUACAAGGAACUUCUUCGGUCCCAGGCAGAGCACAUGCUGAAUGACCGGUUACUAAACAUGCUAAAUGUCGAUAUCCUAGAUGUCAAGGAAGCUAGAAGGCGUUUUGAGAAAGCUUCCCUUGUACAUGAUCAGGGACGUGAGAAGUUUAUGUCAUUGAGAAAAAGCACUAGGAUGGAUAUUGCCACUGUCGUAGAAGAGGAUUUGCACAAUGCAAGAACCUCAUUGGAGGAAGCUCGUUUCAAUCUGGUUAGUGCUCUCCAUAAUGUUGAGGCCAAGAAGAGAUUUGAGUUUUUGGAGGCUGUCACUGGAGUUAUGGAUGCUCAUCUUCGGUAUUAUCGACAGGGAUAUCAGCUAUUACAUGAGAUGGAGCCUUUCAUUAUCGAGGUUUUGGCUUAUACACAAAAGGCAAGAGAAAGUUACAAUGAGAAGCAAAUUAGUCUUUGUGAAAGAAUGUUGGAGUACAAAAAACAUGUUAAUCAUGAAAGUAUGUUGUCCUUGAAUGGUCCUUAUGACUCUCCCUGUAGAGAUGGUCAAGUGCAGCCUUUUUCUAGGAUAUCAAAUAAAGUGGCAGAUGCUAUAACAGAAUCUGCUGAAAAUGGAAAGGUUCAAAUCAUUCGACAAGGAUUUCUUUCAAAACGGUCCACAAAUCUGAGGGGUGACUGGAAGAGAAGGUAUUUUGUUCUUGAUAGUCGCGGAAUGCUUUACUACUUUCGUAAACCAUGGAGUGGAUUACAUAGUGGCAAUCAAUCAUCUUUACACAGAAAUUGUGCCACUGACAAUAGUGCUGGAAUUUUCAGUCGCCUGCUUUCUUCACAUUACCAUGGAUUUAUCCCUGAUGAAAAAUUUGUAGCACGUCAUACAGUGAACCUGCUAACAUCAACAAUCAAGAUUGAUGCUGAACAGUAAGAUUUAAGGUUCUGCUUCAGGAUUAUUUCACCAUCAAAGAGUUAUACAUUGCAGGCAGAAAAUGCCCUGGAUCAGAUGGAUUGGAUGGAAAAGAUAACUGGUGUAAUUGCCUCCUUAUUGAGUGCACAAACACUGUCAGAUGACUCUGAAAGCAGUGACUGUUACUCUGCCAACAAGAUGUAUUUGUUAAAAGGUUCUCCUGAUGAUGAUCCUGCAGUGAGUGGGGAUUCUAUAAAAAAUGAAAAGCCAAUUGAAGUUCUUAGAAAGGUUGGCGGGAAUGAAAAAUGUGCUGAUUGUGGUAAACCUGAUCCAGAUUGGGCAUCCUUAAACCUUGGCAUCCUUAUUUGCAUUGAAUGUUCCGGUGUUCACCGUAAUCUUGGUGUGCAUAUAUCAAAAGUAAGAUAACUGACCCUUGAUGUAAAAGUAUGGGAUUCUGCAGUGUUAACCAUGUUUCAGUCACUGGGGAAUCUUUUUGCAAACUCAGUUUGGAAGGAACUGUUGCAUUCAACAAGUACUUCGCAAACUGAUGACACUCCCGAUGGUUCAUUCAAGACACACAAAAAGUUAUUUCAUGCAAGAAAACCAGCACAUGAUGAUCCUCUUUCACUAAAGGAGAGGUUCAUUCAUGCAAAGUAUGCUGUGAAAGUCUUUGCUCGCCGGGACAACGAAUGACAACCGUCUCCUUUCAACGGCACAAGAAGUGGCAGAAAGCACCACUGCACCAGUGCCAAUGACAAGAAAGCAGUGUACAGACACGUUGUGAAGUCAGAUGUGGAUGUCAUUGCUAUUAGUGGGGAAGCAGGUUUUUCUUCCAACAUGCCUUCUUCAAGUAAUCCAAACACAUCAUGUAAAACUAAGACUCGACAAGAGGAGGAUAUACAAGAUGGCUCUAGUGUGCUUCACCUGGUAUGCUUAACUAGUGAUUCUGCAAUGGUAGAGCUGCUCCUACAGUAUGGUGCAGACGUAAAUGCUAUUGAUUCUAGAGGGAGGACACCUCUACAUUACAGCACUAUGAGAGGGGAGAGUGCAAUUACAAAAGUGCUUUAUUACAAGGGGGGCCAAUCCACUUGCCGGAGACAAAGAAGGCAACACUCCUUUUAAGCUUGCACCGGAACCUGACACUGUUGUCAAAGAUACUCUUGCUCUAAACCAGCAAACGACAUGCCCUCAAAACUUAUUAGAAAAAUGAUUCAUGAACACCUUGUGUUGGAGAUAAAAAUAUAGAAGACAAAGAUAGAUGAUAUGAUG
rnacentral:lncRNA from 1 species